rnacentral:lncRNA from 1 species
GCACAACAUAAUUCAUUUAGGGGUUAUUGUAUGUUCGCUUAAUGGAAUAGUAGGCAGAUUUAUCUAUUUCAAAGCUUUGAGGUACAGAAAAUGCUCACAAUUAAAUGUGAAGUGGAAAAAAAAGCAGAAACUAAGAUUUAAAUGUUGAUGAACUGUAUGUUAAUAUAAACACAUAUAAACAGGGGGAAAUGCUGCAAAGAAAUACAGUAAAAUGAGAAAAAGGAGAUGAGAUAAUUUUUCCAGUCUUUUAUAUAUAUUUUUCUCAGAUUUUAUGAUUUGAUCAUAUGUUCAGAAAAUACCUUUUUAUUUGGAAGUAUAGAUUAUGUGUUGUCCAAAAAUCCAUUAAAUGUUUUGUUCAUUAAGUCUUUUUUUUUUUCUGAGCAGAAUUAGUCCAUCUCUGUGUAUGUGUGUACAUAUAUGUAUAAGUGUGUGUGUGUGUGUGUAUAUAUAUAUAUAUAUAUAUAUAUAUAUAUAUAUAUGGUUAUACAUACUUAUGUUUGUACUGUAGGUCAUUCUGUUUCAUAGUUAUUUAACAUAAUUGGAAGAAAAUUAUUUUAGGUAAAUGGACUUUGCAUAUGAAAAGCCUAACAGUUAAAGAGGCCAAAAGCAUUGGAUACAAAUAUUUUCAAAUCUGAGUGUUCUUUUUCUGAUUUCUUAAUUAUAUCAGAUAUAUCAUUGUUGAGAUAAGUUUCCUCUCCUUGUACAAUUGAGUGUAAAAUCUCUUAAAAAGUAUUCCCUUCUUAAAUAGAAGAAUCGUUUGCCUGGAUUCCUGUGAGGAAUUUUCUAAUCUCAUUGAACUUUUUCUCAGCUAAAAGAAAAAAGGAAAUAGAAGGAUAAAGAGAAGGGAAAAACAUUAAAACAUUUUAUAUUUCUCUCUCUUGUUUCUUUCAUUUCAAAAACCCCGGUACCUGUUUCUCUUUUUACUAGGUUAUGUGGGAUCUUGUUCCUAGCUGUUGCUCCUCAGUUUCAGCAUUUGACUUUGGAGCUUUAGUCCCUUCCUUAGAUGACUGCUUUUAUGCUACUUCCCAUUUUCCUCUGUUGUCAUUUUGAGUAAAAGGUUAGCAAGGCUAUGACAUUAAAGAAAUGUUCAUUUCUUUCUGUGUUGGGGUUUUCUGAAUGCAAUUUCCUAUUACGAAGAUCCCAUGGAUGAUCCUUGGACACAUCUGAGUAUCCCAUCACCAUUUAUAACAUUUGAAUAUUGUUUAAUAUUGUUUCCUUUAAUAUUGUUUCCUCAGAUUCCUUUUGAAUAGUCAUUGUUUCCAGACUUUAUCCUGGUUAUUUAGAAUUGUCAAGUAAAUUAUUUUGAGUACACACACACACACACACACACACACACACAUACACACAUCUUUACUGUGAAAUAAGGUACAUAUCUUAGUGUGUUUAUGUCAGAGGCUAUUUAUGAAAUAUCACUACCAAUUAAAUUUAAAAGGCUUGUUAACCUUUACUUAUUUUUAAUCCUAUAAAUUAUUAUCCUGAAUCAGAAUGUUAUUAAAUUCUCACUUGGUUAUGAUUCUGACUGUUGUUUUAGGAAUGCUGUUUCUAUUGAGCAGAUGUUUGACAUCAAAUUUAAUCUUUUUUCUCUCUUCUAGGUAAAAGAUAGAGUAUAUCAAGGUAAAUUUUUAGGUUUCUUAAACUUGUAAUAACCCUUUGUAUUGGUGUUUGAUGUGUGUUUUAUGUAUGUUAGAAGUAGAUACAGUGACUUUUAAUGUCUAUUAUCUUUUUUACCUCCUGAAAAUUUUACUAUUCCUAGGUUGCUAACAUGGAUAAUAGAGUAGAUGAUGAUGGUUCCAACUCUGAGAUAGGAGAUAAAGAGGAGGAACAAAUUGUGGAUAGGGAGAUGAUGAUAAGUUUUAAUUUGGGGCAGAUUAACUUUGAAUAUUGAUGUAAUGCAGAUGUAUUACAUUUGAAGAGUAUUUCUAUGCUAAUGAUUUAAUCAUGCAUUAAGUAAUUGAGUAGAUAAUUUAAAGAAUGGUAAUGUACAUCAGUAUGCUUUCAUUUCUGUUUUUCUUUGCAAAGAAUUAAAUGAUUCCAUUUUCUGAAAAGAAAGUGUUUUGAGAAGGGAGGAAUAUCAAGCUACAACACUUUACUGUAUUUCCCAUCUGUGAAAUAAGCUUAAAUUGAAAUAUCAUUUUGGAUGGGAGGGGUACCUGGGAUUGAACUCUGGGGCACUCUACUGAGCCACAUCCCCAACCCCCUAUAUUUAGAGACCAAGUCUCACUUAGUUGCUUAGUGUCUCGCUCUUGCUGAGGCUGGCUUUGAACUUGGGAUCCUUCUAGCUUAGCCUCCUGAGCCACUGGGAUUACAGGUGUGCACCACUGCACCCAGCAAAAUAUCAUCGUUCUUAUAUUUUUCUUAAAUUUUAAUAAUUUUUAUACUCAUUGCUAAUAAGCAUAGAUUGCUUUUUAAAAGCAUAAUAGUUAUGCUAAGAAGUAUUUCCUCAUAGUACCAUAUAACAUGUCUUUGCUUUUAGUAGAUUGAGUAAUUGAAUUUCAUUUAGUGAUUGUAAUAAUCUUGUGUAUUUCCCCCUUUUAGUCAAUGAACAGCAAAUUUCCCAAAAGGUGAAAAAUUUCAUGAAAGAAAAUAAAGAACUGAUGCAGAAAUUGUCAAAUUAUGAACAGAAG